rnacentral:lncRNA from 1 species
CUGAAAUAUUUGGUGCAAGGGCUCUGCCCCGGCUCCUAGCCAGAAUCGAGAGCAGACUCCUUCUAAGACACAUACGCCUUAUUGGCAUGAGGCCACCUUUGCCUAACAUGCUAUAUAAGCUAACAGAGAAAAAGCGGACAUUGGGAGACUCAGGACUACACGCAGGGAUUCUGCCCAACGGGACCCCGACCAGCCCCUGUCUUGGGAUUUCCCCAGUUGUCCUACGAUGUUGAGCCAAGGUGCUACCCCGACCGACUGGUGAUUUAUUAGAAUUGCAUGCAGGACUUCUGCCCAAUGGGACCCUGACCAAUUGCCUUCUGGGGACCUCCCAGUUUUCUCGGUGUUGAGGAGUUGAUUUUCAUCCUUCAGCCUGUCUCACAGAGUAAGAAGUUUACAGGAGCUCCAACCUGACCAACUGCCAUGUCCAUUUCAAAGACAAGAGUAAGGAAAGAAGCCAAGGCAAAUGAGCUUACACAGCCAUUGUAGCUUCAUCUAAGCUGUCUUCCCAAAGUCAAGACAAUAUCUCUUAUUCCUAAUUGGCCUGAAUUUCUCUAGUCAUAUUUUGCUAAGAGACAGAUCAGAAAUGACAACCAUUUGUUGUGGUAUUGCUAACCUGAAUAAAACUUAGUCUUUGUGCUUAACUGCAAGGGAAGAAAGAAAAUUGAGAGGGACAGCCAUUAUUUUUUCUCUAUUCUAAAUUCAAAGUCAAAAAGAAAAAUUAUGAGCUAUUAUCAGGUGUAUUUUUUUACUUCAUAAAUCAUCACUUUUCUCUAGGUGUUUGUUCAUUCCUAGGUGGAAAAAAGAAGUAUUGGUUGAUUGGACAAAGACUUCUCUCUUGAUUAAAUGAAGGUGUGUAAAGGAGAGGGAGAAAAAUUUCUGGUUAAGGAGAAAUGUGUUUCAAAGAAAAGAAAAGGAUGAGAUCCCAGCUGUUGACUCUGUGUUAGUUCACGUGCCACUGAAGUUUUGUUCAUAAAGUCUUUUCCUACACCAAUACCACAGCGAUAUAUGCACAUCCAUGUUUAUAGUGGCACAGUUUGUAAUAGCUAAAUCUUGUAAACAGCCCAAAUGCCCAUCACCUGGUGAGUGGAUAAAGAUGUGGGGGGGGGUAUAAAAUGGAGUAUUACUCAGCCAUAAAGAAUGAGAAACUAGAGACAUUUAUAGCUAAAUGGAUGCAUAUUGAUGCCAUAGUCUUAAGUGAAUAAAUAGGACACAUGUGUAAAUACUGAAUAGUGUCUAUGGUGUGAGAAACUAAAAGUGUAAAUAAGUACCAAAAUGUAUAAUAGAUAAUCUGAAAUAGGAAGAAAAGAUCCAAAGGGGAAGGGGAAGUGGGAGGGCAAGGGUAAAGAAAGAAGGGGAAAAAUGUGAGAAAAGAAGAAAGAAAUGGAAACAAAGUUUUUUGUAAAUAGGGAGGGGUGGAGGGGUGGAAGGGAGGGAGAGGAAAGGGGGAAAAAGGAAGAAUCAAGAUAUACCAUGUAUAGGUACAAAUUCCCAAUGAUGAAUGUGAUCAUAAUACAUACCUAAAAUGUACCAAUAACUUAACGAAUAAAAAAAGAAAAAGAAAGGAAGUAUGAGUCAGUUGUUCUUACAAGCAAAUCUCAUGUUGCAAUCUAAUAUUAGACUGAAAAUGGUGCACAUUUGCCUCAGACCC